rnacentral:rRNA from 1 species
GACGAACGCUGGCGGCGUGCUUAACACAUGCAAGUCGAACGGGCCUGUCUUCUUUUUUGGGGGUGGGUUGAGUGGCGAACGGGUGAGUAUCACGUGAGUAACCUGCCCUUCGGUCCUGGAUAACCGCUUGAAAGGGCGGCUUAUACGGGGUGGUCCGGUUGGUCCGCAUGGGCUGGUCGGGAUAGAUUCACUGUUUUUGGUGUUUCGGCGGGGGAUGGGCUCGCGGCCUAUCAGCUUGUUGGUGGGGUGAUGGCCUACCAAGGCGGUGACGGGUAGCCGGCCUGAGAGGGUGGGCGGCCACACUGGGACUGAGAUACGGCCCAGACUCCUGCGGGAGGCAGCAGUGGGGGGUAUUGCACAAUGGGCGGAAGCCUGAUGCAGCGACGUCGCGUGAGGGAUGGAGGCCUUCGGGUUGUGAACCUCUGUUUCCGGUGGUGAAGGCCCUGUCCGUGUGGUGGGGUUGACGGUAGCCGGGGAUGAAGCGCCGGCUAACUACGUG